GACGAACGCUGGCGGCGUGCUUAACACAUGCAUGUCGAACGGAAAGGCCCUGCUUUUGUGGGGUGCUCGAGUGGCGAACGGGUGAGUAACACGUGAGUAACCUGCCCUUGACUUUGGGAAAACUUCAGGAAACUGGGGCUAAUACCGGAUAGGAGCUCCUGCUGCAUGGUGGGGGUUGGAAAGUUUCGGCGGUUGGGGAUGGACUCGCGGCUUAUCAGCUUGUUGGUGGGGUAGUGGCUUACCAAGGCUUUGACGGGUAGCCGGCCUGAGAGGGUGACCGGCCACAUUGGGACUGAGAGACGGCCCAGACUCCUACUGGAGGCAGCAGUGGGGAAUAUUGCACAAUGGGCGGAAGCCUGAUGCAGCAACGCCGCGUGCGGGAUGACGGCCUUCGGGUUGUAAACCGCUUUCGCCUGUGACGAAGCGUGAGUGACGGUAAUGUGUAAAGAAGCACCGGCUAACUACGUG
rnacentral:rRNA from 1 species